CUUUGCAAACGCGGGAGCUCGGAGCACCGGGCUGAGAGGGCGCUGACCGGCCGAAGGGCCACCAGCUGCGCCGACCGCUGAACCUGUUACCGGGUAAUGCCGGCGUAGGGAGUGGGUCUCAUGACCAU
rnacentral:ncRNA from 1 species